GUGAAUCAUCAAAUUCUUGAACGCAAAUUGCACUCUCUUCGGAGAGUAUGCCGGUUUGGGGGUCAGUAUUAAUAAAAAUCGGUGUGUUGCUUCUUUGUGACGCGUCGGAGUUUGGGUCAUCUUAAUAUCCUUUAGGUUUUAAGAGGCUUAAAAUUGGCUUUUUUUUGGCAUUUUAUAGGUCGAAAAAUCUUUUUUUUUGUUCG
rnacentral:misc_RNA from 1 species